rnacentral:rRNA from 1 species
GACGAACGCUGGCGGCGUGCCUAAUACAUGCAAGUCGAACGAGAGCGACCGGUGCUUGCACUGGUCAAUCUAGUGGCGAACGGGUGAGUAACACGUGGGUAACCUGCCCAUCAGAGGGGGAUAACAUUCGGAAACGGAUGCUAAAACCGCAUAGGUCUUCGAACCGCAUGGUUUGAGGAGGAAAAGAGGCGCAAGCUUCUGCUGAUGGAUGGACCCGCGGUGCAUUAGCUAGUUGGUGAGGUAACGGCUUACCAAGGCCGUGAUGCAUAGCCGACCUGAGAGGGUGAUCGGCCACAUUGGGACUGAGACACGGCCCAAACUCCUACGGGAGGCAGCAGUAGGGAAUCUUCCGCAAUGGACGCAAGUCUGACGGAGCAACGCCGCGUGAGUGAAGAAGGUUUUCGGAUCGUAAAACUCUGUUGUUAGAGAAGAACAAGUGCUAGAGUAACUGUUAGCGCCUUGACGGGAUCUAACCAGAAAGCC